GUGUGUGUGUGUGUGUGUGUGUGUGUGUGUGUGUGUGUGUGUGUGUGUGUGUGUGCAGAACAUCCAGCUGCUGGCCAGCCAGAUGGACAGCGUGGACCUGUCGUCGCUGGAUGAGGCGGCCCUCGAGGGAAUCAGACGCCUGCAGAGUCGCCUGGCAACCCUGUUGUGAGCAGGGAGCUUGAAUGGACCUUCGACUGACGCAGACUUGUAAAUAGUGUAUCUGCUGUACUUUUAUUGUGGAGAACUUUGGAGCAACUUUCCUUGUGCAUUGAUGUCCGCAGAGCUGAAAAUAUUGAUAAUCUGGUCACUUAUACCUUGUAAAGAUUAUCUGGUCAUCAGGAUUCAUUGAUGUGUAUGUAUGAACCUUUUUUCAGGUGUUUUUAGAAAAUGUUAAGUGCUUUCUGUAUGGAGUGCAUUAUGGGUAUCCCGUGAUACCUUUGACCAGCACCAGCAGAUGGGAGCCUUGUAUUAAAAGUUCAAAAAGGGUAAA